rnacentral:rRNA from 1 species
GACGAACGCUGGCGGCGUGCUUAACACAUGCAAGUCGAACGGAAAGGCCCUGCUUUUGUGGGGUGCUCGAGUGGCGAACGGGUGAGUAACACGUGAGUAACCUGCCCUUGACUUUGGGAUAACUUCAGGAAACUGGGGCUAAUACCAGAUAGGAGCUCCUGCUGCAUGGUGGGGGUUGGAAAGUUUCGGCGGUUGGGGAUGGACUCGCGGCUUAUCAGCUUGUUGGUGGGGUAGUGGCUUACCAAGGCUUUGACGGGUAGCCGGCCUGAGAGGGUGACCGGCCACAUUGGGACUGAGAUACGGCCCAGACUCCUACGGGAGGCAGCAGUGGGGAAUAUUGCACAAUGGGCGGAAGCCUGAUGCAGCAACGCCGCGUGCGGGAUGACGGCCUUCGGGUUGUAAACCGCUUUCGCCUGUGACGAAGCGUGAGUGACGGUAAUGGGUAAAGAAGCACCGACUAACUACGUG